UGAAAUGUUGGGCUAUAUAUGUAUGUGUGUGUGUUUGUUUUUUUAGGUUUCUUGUUUAUGUAACCAUGUACGCGUGUGUCUUAAAUUUCAUGUUCAGAUUAUGCAUUAUCGAAAUGUAGUAUGUAUAUACAGUUCUGCUCAAACCGGUCCAAAAGGCCACGUGAAAUAGCAACAAUGUAGGAGAUUUUUAUCAGGGUGUUGUAGGCUUCCAAUAUC
rnacentral:lncRNA from 1 species